UACCAUUUGAGAUUAGGUCUUGUGGUGUGUCCUUUUUCGAUCGUAGCUACUGUUUAUGGUCAUUUAUAAGGAUGUUUGUUAACGCAAGGUUGUCAUUUAUGUAAUAGGUCACCAGAGAGGUCUACUCUACUGCAGGUUGAAUAUCAAAAUAUUUCGCUCACUCUCCACUUUGCUAUCCAGUUUGUAACAUCCUCAUAUAUUUUGGGUUACUCCAGAUAAACUGUACCAGAUCCUGAAAUAAAAUAUACAGAUAGAGAUUAACCAUUCUGAUGAUUUUCCAGGGCUUGAAAUAACAGCC